rnacentral:rRNA from 1 species
CACGUAGGGCGCAAGCGUUGUCCGGAAUUCUUGGGCGUAAAGAGCUCGUAGGCGGUCUGUUGCGUCCGCUGUGAAAACUCGGGGCUUAACCCCGAGCCUGCAGUGGAUACGGGCAGACUAGAGGUAGGUAGGGGAGAAUGGAAUUCCCGGUGUAGCGGUGAAAUGCGCAGAUAUCGGGAGGAACGCCGGUGGCGAAGGCGGUUCUCUGGGCCUUACCUGACGCUGAGGAGCGAAAGCGUGGGGAGCGAACAGG